GCACCGGCGCGGGGCGAGGGGCGGCCGCAAGGACGGGGCUGCUCCGUGCCCUCGGCCAGGGGCCGCCGCCCACUUACACCCCUGCUCGCUGCCCUGCGAUCUCGCCCUUCCCUUCCCGCCGCUGCGGGCCUGCCUCCGUCUCUCAGCCUGGUGUGCGUACUGGAGAUGGAGAAACCAUGUAGCAGAAAGCUUUGAGCAGCUGUGGAUUAUCAGUUUCUCCCAAGAACAAUAUACAGUGAAGAAUGAAGGCGACUGGAUUUAUUUCCCUGUGGACGUUGGUUUCGCUGCCUUGUGGCCCCUUAGCAAACCCUGCAGAACGUGAAGAUGUAGUGAAGCAUGCAAUAAAGCUGCACCGUGGGAAAGGAGCUGUUAUCACUCAGAGGAAGCAGUGGGUGUUGGAGAGCUGCAGAAAAUUGUCUGGUCUUCUUCGCCAAAAGAAUGUUGUUCUCAACAAACUAAAAAAUGCCAUAAGAGCAGUUGAGAAGGAUGCAGGACUGUCUGAUGAAGAGAAACUUUUUCAGGUGCACACCUUCGAAAUUUUCCAAAAGGAGCUAAAUGAAAGUGAAAACUCAGUAUUUCAGGCAAUCCAUGGCCUCCAGAGAGCUCUACAGGGUGAUUACAAAGAUGUGGUAAAUAUGAAAGAAAGCAGUAGACAGAGACUGGAGGCCUUGAGAGAAGCUGCAAUUAAGAGGCCUGACAAGACUUUAUCUGUGUGUUGUAAAAUUCAACAGGAAGAAAUGGAAUAUGUUGAACUCCUAGCAGCAGAAAAACACCAGGUUGAAGCCCUUAAGAAUAUGCAGCACCAAAACAAAAGCUUGUCGAUGCUUGAUGAAAUUCUGGAAGAUGUCAGGAAGGCAGCUGAUAGAUUGGAAGAGGAAAUAGAAGAGCAUGCCUUUGAUGACAACAAAUCUGUAAGAGGUGUAAACUUUGAAGCAGUUUUAAGGGUAGAAGAAGAUGAAGCCAACUCCAAAAGAAAUGCUUCAAAAAGAGAAGUAGAAGAUGACUUAGGUCUUAGUAUGCUUAUUGAUUCUCAGAACAAUCAGUAUAUCCUUACUAAACCCAGAGAUUCAACCAUUCCUCGUGCUGAUCAUCAUUUCAUAAAGGAUAUUGUGACAAUAGGAAUGUUGUCUUUGCCGUGUGGCUGGCUGUGCACAACAAUAGGAUUACCAACCAUGUUUGGAUAUAUCAUCUGUGGAGUACUCCUAGGACCCUCAGGAUUAAAUAGUAUCAAGUCUAUUGUACAGGUGGAGACAUUAGGAGAGUUUGGUGUGUUCUUCACUCUCUUUCUAGUUGGCCUGGAAUUUUCUCCUGAAAGAUUAAGAAAGGUAUGGAAAAUAUCUUUGCAAGGACCCUGCUACAUGACAGUUCUGAUGAUUGCCUUUGGUUUACUAUGGGGGCACUUGCUCCAAAUUAGACCAACACAGAGCGUCUUCAUUUCUACUUGUUUGUCUUUGUCAAGCACACCACUGGUAUCCAGAUUUCUUGCAGGUAGCGUUCGAGGAGAUAAAGAAGGGGAUAUUGACUACAGCAGCGUACUGCUUGGCAUGUUGGUGAUGCAGGAUGUGCAGCUUGGUUUAUUUAUAGCUGUCAUGCCUACACUUAUUCAAGCAGGAGUGAGCACAUAUUCCAGCGUUUUCAAGGAAAUUCUGAGAAUACUGAUAUUGAUUGGCCAAAUUCUGUUUUCUCUGGCUGCUGUUUUUCUUCUAUGUCUUGUUAUAAAGACUUAUCUCAUAGGACCAUAUUACCGCAAGUUGCACACAGAAAGCAAAGGGAAUAAAGAAAUUCUCAUUCUAGGAAUAACUGCGUUCACCUUCCUUAUGUUAACGAUCACAGAGCUGUUGGAUGUUUCAAUGGAGCUGGGAUGCUUCUUAGCUGGAGCUCUGAUCUCUUCUCAGGGUCACAUGGUUACUGAGGAGAUUAUGUGCUGUAUUGAACCAAUACGUGACUUUCUUGCCAUCAUUUUCUUUGCAUCUAUAGGACUUCAUGUUUUUCCCACGUUUGUAAUAUAUGAACUCACAGUCUUGCUAUUCCUUACACUGUCUGUCGUCAUAAUGAAGUUUGUCUUGGCAGUGCUUGUCCUUUCUUUGAUUCUUCCAAAGACCAGCCAAUAUAUCAAGUGGAUUGUCUCAGCAGGACUGGCACAAGUCAGUGAAUUCUCUUUUGUUCUGGGAAGUAGAGCACGCAGAGCAGGGAUCAUAUCUCGGGAGACACUGAAUAUUCAAAACUGAUCACUUCAUAUAAAAAACAACUGUUCUUCUAUAAGCUCAUAAAGAUGUUUUUGAAAUUGUAUCUUCACACCAGGUAAACAGGUCUAUCUUCUUAUUCUGAGUGUUACUACUCUAAGCCUUUUACUUGCCCCUGCCCUGUGGAGAGCUGCAAUUAUGAAAUGUGUUCCGAGACCUGAAAGACGCUCAAGUACUUGACCAAGAUUUGCACAAGUAGAAGAGUAUGUCCUCUUGCAAGGAAACACCUUCAUUGUUCGUUGUAUUUCUAUGCACUCAGAAAACAAGACCUGUUGAGUAGUCAGUCCUCUUAACAAGCACUUGGUUAUAAGCCUUCUACUGACCUUAAAACAAAAUUCAGUACUAAAAAAUAAUUGCGUCAUUUGAUUUGCACACCUUUUACAAAAUUUACUUUAACUCUGACAGAUUGGAAUCUGCUAGAAUAUUUGUUUCUGAUCCAAUCUGUUACUCAAAGCAUAAAUUAUUUUUUUAAAAUAUAGCAUCAUGCAAACUAUGUUGAUUAUUUUUUUGCCUGAAUGUGCCUUUUAAUUUUCAUCCUGUUAAUGCUGGUUCAUCACCAGAUUUUGUUCAAAAAGGAAAAAAAGAUAUAUAUAUAUAUUAUGGUGCCUAUGGUAUCUUCUUUCACUAAAUGACUUGAGUCAUUUUCACAUUUAGGAUUUUAAUAUAGCAGUAUAAAAUUAAUUACAAAAGAAAUUUCUAAUGGUGAAUAAAAGAGUGAUCUUCUACACAAAGAAAAGGUUUAACUGUUUAGCAUCAGUUCCAAGCAUAUAAUUACAUAUUCCAAUAUCAUGCAGCCAGUACUGUAUGAUAUUUUAUUCCAAAUUGCAGUAUAUAAUGUAUUUUCUUAUAGUGGUAUAUUUUGUGUUAGCUCUUGUAUUUAUUUCCAUAUUUGACUAAAAAUUGACAGUAAGAAAGGGCAUAACUUAUGUUUGCAGACUGACAGUUGUUACCUGUUCUUGUUGCUAAAUGCUGCUACAGUAAUCGUUUACAGGGAUGUUUUCUUUUAAAUCAAAAAGAAAUGUAAUAAAACUGGGAAGUGUAAUUUCAAUUAGAUGUGAAAAAUAGCACUUCUGCAACCUUGGAAGUUGGAUCUUAGUUGACACUAUUCUAGAUUUGAAAUUAUUUUAAGUAAAUUAACUUUCAGAAAACUAGAAACAGCAGACUGGAUGUGUAUUUGCAACCUCAUGACCUUUUAAGUUACCUUUACAUUGAAUAAAUUGUUAGUCUUUUUAAAAUACCACGAUAUUUUAGAAAACAGUGUUUUGAAUGUGAUUUUAAAUGUGUUUUUUCUUUAAAAUGUUGUAUGUAGUGAGAUAGGUCUUGUAAAAACCCAUUAUUUAAGUGUCAUAGAGAAAGCUUACUCAUAGGCUAUAGUCUACUCUGACAAAGCAUUUAAGCGUCAUCUUGAGGUUUAUCUGAUAAAACCAAUACCAUUUAAGAUACAUUAACACUUCAGUCAGUAUUGCAGUGUCAUCUGAAAUAACAUUGAUACCCACAAAAUGGUUCGAAAAAUGCAUGUUACGAGGUUUAAUUGCCAAUUAAAAUGAAAAUUGUCCUCCAAGCAGCAAAACAAAGCUUUGGAUGGAUUUUUGUGCUCUAUACCUCUUUCCCCCUGUAGCAGCCUCAGUUUCUUCAGUGUUUUCUCUGACAUCUGCUGGGCUUGUCCAAAUGAAACUUGGAUUAGUCUGGAGUGUGGAUGUACUGGUGGGACAGGGUAGAGAUCAUCAUAUUUGAAGUUCUUGCUCACUGAAUUUGGGGGUUUCCCUCUAGGCAUAAUACUUCGUAAAGAUCCGAGGAAUGUAUGGCAAUUCCACCUCCCCUCAAAUGGUUUCAAAAGUUGUUGCAAAACAGACAAAUACAGAGCAAAAAGCUGCCCUAUAAAUAAAAUAUUUUUUAAUAAAAUUAA